UACGUAGGGGGCAAGCGUUGUCCGGAUUCAUUGGGCGUAAAGAGCUCGUAGGCGGCUUGGCAAGUCGGGUGUGAAAACUCCAGGCUCAACCUGGAGACGCCACCCGAUACUGCCAUGGCUAGAGUCCGGUAGGGGACCACGGAAUUCCUGGUGUAGCGGUGAAAUGCGCAGAUAUCAGGAGGAACACCAGUGGCGAAGGCGGCACUCUGGGCCGGUACUGACGCUGAGGAGCGAAAGCGUGGGGAGCGAACAGG
rnacentral:rRNA from 1 species